GGUGAACCAAGUGUCUCUGGGAGAAAUAUUGCAGCCACCCCACUGAGGAUUGGAGCUCCUCCGUAAAUUAAACCUGGUAGCCAAGAAAAAGCCACAUUUUAGGAACUUUGGCGCCUGCAGUUUCCUGGGAUGAUAAACAAAAACCUGCAGUCAGCAGCACUUGGGUCAAUAAGAGAGCUAAAUAACAUACUGAGUGAGAAGGUGUUGAGCCCCAGGCCAGACAGAGCCAUGCCACAACCGAAACGGAACAGGCAGAAGAGUGGAAAGGAGGCCGAGAAAGCAGCACACGUCCCAGCCACUGCCAUCAGCAGGUUAGACAUGAGCAGGAGGAUGCGUCGACCAUAUCUGGGAGCCAGGUGGAUUUGCAAAUAGUUAGGUCAGCAUCAAAACCAUCGCUGGUGUCUCCCUGCUCUUUUGACUUGGAGGUCCCAUUCUUAUCCAGGAGGUGCCACUGAG